rnacentral:rRNA from 1 species
AUUGAACGCUGGCGGCAUGCCUUACACAUGCAAGUCGAACGGUAACAGGCCGCAAGGUGCUGACGAGUGGCGAACGGGUGAGUAAUACAUCGGAACGUGCCCGAGAGUGGGGGAUAACGGAGCGAAAGCUUUGCUAAUACCGCAUACGAUCUACGGAUGAAAGCAGGGGACCGCAAGGCCUUGCGCUCAUGGAGCGGCCGAUGGCAGAUUAGGUAGUUGGUGGGAUAAAAGCUUACCAAGCCGACGAUCUGUAGCUGGUCUGAGAGGACGACCAGCCACACUGGGACUGAGACACGGUCCAGACUCCUACGAGAGGCAGCAGUGGGGAAUUUUGGACAAUGGACGCAAGUCUGACGGAGCAAUGCCGCGUGGAGGAUGAAAGCCUGUGGGUCGUAAACUCCUUUCUCAGAGAAGAAGUUCUGACGGUAUCUGAGGAAUAAGCAUCGGCUAACUCCGUGCCAGCAGCCGCGGU